UACGGGGGGAGCAAGCGUUGUUCGGAUUUACUGGGCGUAAAGGGCGCGUAGGCGGCCACCGCAAGUCGACUGUGAAAUCUCCGGGCUUAACCCGGAAAGGUCAGCCGAUACUGCGGGGCUAGAGUGCAGAAGGGGCAACUGGAAUCUCGGUGUAGCGGUGAAAUGCGUAGAUAUCGAGAGGAACACCUGCGGCGAAGGCGGGUUGCUGGGCUGACACUGACGCUGAGGCGCGAAAGCUAGGGGAGCGAACAGG
rnacentral:rRNA from 1 species